rnacentral:lncRNA from 1 species
GUUGUGUCCUAACUAGUAUGUCGCUAAUUUCCUCUCCACUCUCUAAGGAAGCAAAAGUGGCUCCUGGCUACAUUUGGGUCUCCACUUAAUACACCGCAGGACCGCCGGUUUCCAGGACUCUGAGAUGCAGCCGCACACAGCACGGACAGCAAGCAACGGGAAGCUUCCUUUCUGUUUCUGUGGAAGGCACAACAAGGGCCCUCUCAUCUCCCAAACUUGGUGUUAACUCCGGGGUGUAAAUGCCUUUGAGAAAAUGCCCACUGCACCUCCUCCAGGCGGCUGAGCUGUUCACACAGGCUCUGCACCAGCUCUGCCCUUUACGGCAUGCGGCAUGUACGCAUCUCCUGUGUAAGGCACGAGUAGAAGUUUGAAACACUGAUGCGGGACUUGGCUGGACAGAGCUGCCUGUGUGCCAGCAUGUGGACACUGGGCGUGGGCGC